UUGUGGCUUAAAAGGGAAUCCCGUGCAAACCGGGAGCGGACCCGCCGCCGUGAGCCCCUCGCGCUGCCCGUCCUGACGGGGAGCGGUCCUUUUCCAUGCCACUGGCUUCCGGGCCGGGAAGGCGAAAACGGACGGGCGCAGCCGGAAAACCUGCCUGCCGCA
rnacentral:ncRNA from 1 species